AGACGGUCCAUGGGCUUGCCCAG
rnacentral:siRNA from 1 species